GGAAUAUUGGUCAAUGGGCGGAAGCCUGAACCAGCCAAGUAGCGUGAAGGAAGACUGCCCUAUGGGUUGUAAACUUCUUUUAUCCGGGAAUAAAGUGCGCCACGCGUGGCGUUUUGUAUGUACCGGAUGAAUAAGCAUCGGCUAAUUCCGUGCCAGCAGCCGCGGUAAUACGGAAGAUGCGAGCGUUAUCCGGAUUUAUUGGGUUUAAAGGGAGCGUAGGCGGGCUGUUAAGUCUGCGGUCAAAUGUCGGCGCCCAACGCCGUCAUGCCGUGGAAACUGGCGGUCUUGAAUGUGCACAAGGAAGGUGGAAUUCGUGGUGUAGCGGUGAAAUGCUUAGAUAUCACGAAGAACUCCGAUUGCGAAGGCAUCCUUCUGGGGCAUGAUUGACGCUGAGGCUCGAAAGCGCGGGUAUCAAACA
rnacentral:rRNA from 1 species